ensembl:lncRNA
AUUAAGUCUGUUGUUUGUGGUGUUUUCUCCUCAUAACAAGUUGGUGCAGUUUGAGACACUGUACCAACACACACACUGUGGUGUAGACAGGCCAGUACAGGUGCGAUAUGUUAACCAGAAUAUUUUACAGUUAAAGCAUUAAAACAACAUUUACACUAUUUUUUUUUACUUGUAUUGCAGUUUGACCCCAGACAGUGAUUCAUUAGAAGUGUUUGUAAAUCGUGACUUUAUUAGACAGCUAAAUACUGACACUUUCCUGAUUUUGCCUCAGUCGCUUGCAAGACAUUUCAUCAUUCCUCCAAUACCAAGAUCAUAAGCUGUGAAUUAAUUAACAGUAUGCCUCAGGUGUUUCUGCUAUUUCACAACACUGUGUUUUCUCAAACGCUUAAUUUAGAGGUGUUUUAAAUAUAUAUGAUUGGUGCAAUCUGUCUUCCAUAUCAGAGUUUGAGAGAGAAGAGAGUACACGUUUAAACUGCAGUCAUGGACAUCAGCCUUGCUAUUCAGCUCCUUUUAACUCUGGCUGCACUGACUGAAUAUUCAGCUGAAGGGAAAACUGUGACAGUGUGUCGCAAGUCUUUGCGCAAACUCUAUAAGAGGCAGGUGUAUUUGGACGGCUCUGCAGUGUUUCCGCAGGAUGAAGCACGAGAUUUGGGGUGUGUCACGUAUGAGCUCAACAACACCAUCACCACCCCCCCUCCACGUCCCCGCCCGACCCUGCCCGCACGCUGGGUGUACCACCCCCAUCCUGUGGUCGUAUAUCUGCCCAGAAACAACACACAGGUGUGGCCACAGGGCUUGGCUCCUCCUAUGCCUGGAAACUUCAACAUGUCUGAAAUCAUGAAGUCUACACAACAGCAGCCUCAGCCUCAACCCGUGGUGGUGCAUGGUCAGACCCUGAGGCCUGUAUUCAGCUUUCCUCCAGAGCUUGAGGCAUUUCUUAGGGACUAUAGAGCGGGACAGGGGGUUGCAGGGCCACGAGGGGCCCAGCUUGUAAUGGCUAAGCCAGUGAACAUGAUUCAGUUGCCCAGCCGAGGACUGUCCGACUUAUUCAACUCAACUGGACGAAUGCCAGAUUUUCAGAAGGGUGGAGAAGUCAUUAAAGGUGCUGAUGCAGCGUUUCCAGGGCCUGCACCGCAUACACCACCCAGACCGUCACGCCUUUUUGGGCAUGUCUAUACACCCAAAUUACCAUACAGAGCUUAUUAUAAACCAUCUCCUUAAACUGGUGUUUCUGCAGCUAACAGCUUCUUUACUGCAAUGAUCCUUCACAUUAUAUUUAGCAGAUAUAUUAUAUAUAACCCUUGUGUUGUUAACUCACUUUUUGACCUGCUACCUUGUUUAGCUCUAGAAAAAAUACCUUAAACUCUCUUUUUCAAACUUUUUUCCAAAUUUUAAGACUUUUCCUAAAGGCGCGCCAUCAUUAGAAAGAGUGAUAGUUUGUUUUUGUUUAUGUUUCCAUGUGGGCUGUACACCACUAGGGUACUAAGAUUGUCUUAUGGGUCAUUGUUGACCCAUGAAUUAUAAAAGCAUUUAAACACCAGAAAAAAUGUAUAAAGGCCACACAAACUUUCUCUAAUACACACAGCAUCAAACAUCAUAAGGAUGGCUCCAGGGCCAACAGUGGAUUCAGCUGCCCAUGUCCAGGACAUUUCAUCCCAUCCACCUUUCUUCUGUUCAUCACACCAGCCAUCUAAACAAUCCUGGAGAAUACAAAUUUGGAGGAUUCAAAAUUCAGUUAGGCUGCUUUAUUUUGGGGCUUUGGUAGGGCAUAUGAUUGUCAGUGGUGGACCCAGGAGGGGUUAUAGAUGGUUAUAUAUGGGAAAUUGUGGGGGGUUGUAGUGAUGGGGCCCAUUAGGGAAGCCCAACUAGGUCCCACUAUCAACACAUUUACAAACCCACUUAGCCCAAGUUCAACCCAUGUGAGCCCCACAUAAUAUGUUAAUCCCAUCAAUUGACAGGUUCCAUUGUUAUGAAAUAAUGAAUGUUAUUCUCUACACAUGGUCUCUAUGAUGGUUUUAAUAUUAUGGCUGAUCUGUAAAUCCAGGGACCCUUACCUACUCUAGGUUUCCCACACUUUUAAGUGCAUGCUCCUAUCAAAUAUUACAUUUGCUUGGCUAUGAAAACAUUAACAACUUUAUUUAAGAUCAUUUGAUAUUUGUUGCUGUAAGCAGUUUUAAAUGUAAGUCAGAUAUAUUAAACAUGUUCCCAUUUAAUAUUUAUACAAAGCAACUGAACUGAAACUUUGUAAUUCAUGUAUCACUUUUACGGUUAUUUUUAUGCAAAGUUUGGCAGGAAUUCUGCAGGUAAAAGGAAUUUUUUUGUAUUAUUUUGCAGUCUGCAACUAAAAUAUCUCUGUAACUAGCUUUAUCUAUAUAUUUGUAUAUAUUGAACAUUAUAGAUUAUAGGGUUUUUACUUUAAAAAAGCCACUUGCAUGGGAAUCAGGAAAACACAUUUCUUUUUUGCAUUUGUUCUUUACAUUGUUUUAGAACUGUAUAAAGUGUAUAAUCGUUCAAAAUACUUUAACAUCGACUUUUAUUGAAAGUUAAAAAGGUUUCUGUGAAGUUGUGGAGAUUCUGUGUUUUUGUGCAUUGUUUGUGUGGGUGAUUAUAGUGAAUUUUUUUGGAUGAAUAAUGAGAACAUUAGUUGUUGAGUGAUAUUGCUGAUUUUUGGUUUCUGUAUUUCACACUAAUUAAUAAAUGCAUUUCAAGUACAU